CCUCGAUCUCUACUUUGGGAUGUUGAAGCACAAUCAAAUAGACAUGCUGUCCUAGGAGCAAGCGAGUCUCGCCCUGAUCUGAUAUUAACAGGACAUAAGGAAAAUGAGGAAUUUGCGCUUGCCAUGUGUCCAGCAGAACCAUAUGUCCUAUCAGGAGGAAAGGACAAAUCUGUUGUCUUGUGGAGCAUCCAAGACCAUAUAUCUGCCCUUGGGGAUUCCUCGUCUUCUCCUGGAGCAUCUGGCAGCAAGCAGUCUGUUAAAACUGCAAAUGAAAAGGAGAGCCCAAAGUUGAUCCUAGAGGUAU